UUGGGGGUGUAAAACUUGGGAAUCUCUCACCUGGGGGGGCUGAUCUUGCGCCCCUUCAGCCGCUUCUCGCGGAACUCGCGGCGCUGCCGGCGGGAGCGGCGGCCCUGCAGGGCAAAAAGGGAUUUUUGGGAUUUUCCAAGGAAAAUUUCAAUUUUUUCUGGUUUUUUUUCUGGGUUUUUUCUGGGUUUUUUCUGGGUUUUUCUGGGUUUUUUUUCUGGGUUUUUUCUGAGUUUUUUCUGGGCUUUUUUCUGGGUUUUUCUGGGUUUUUUCUGGUUUUUUUUCUGGGUUUUUUCUGGUUAUUUUCCUGUGGUUUUUUUCUGGUUUUUCUGGGUUUUUUCUGGGUUUUUCUGGGUUUUUUCUGGUUUGUUUUUUUUUUCCUGGUUUUUUUUCUGGGCUUUUUCUGUUUAUUUCUUUGUUUUUUCUGGGUUUUUUUCUGGUUUUUUAUAAUUUUUUUUCUGGGGUUUUUUUUCUGGGUUUUUUUCUGGGUUUUUUUUCCUGUUUUUUUCCUGGGUUUUUUUUUCUGUUUUUUUUCUGGGGUUUUUUUCUGGUUUUUUUUUUCUGGGUUUUUCCUGUGUUUUUUUUCUGGGUUUUUUCUGUUUUUUUCUGGGCUUUUUCUGGUUUUUUCUGGGUUUUUUUCUGGGCUUUUUUCUGGUUUUUUUUUCUGGUUUUUUCCUGUGUUUUUUCUGGGUUUUUUUCUGGUUCUUUCCUGUGUUUUUUCUGUUUUUUUCCUGUGUUUUUUCUGGUUUUUUCCUGGGUUUUUCCUAGGUUUUUUUCUGGUUUUUUUUCCUGUAUUUUUCCUGGUUUUUUCCUGUAUUUUUUCUGUGUUUUUUCUGGGUUUUUUCCCUGGGUUUUUUCGGGUUUUUUCCUGUGUUUUUUCUGGGUUUUUUUCUGGUUCUUUCCUGUGUUUUUUCUGUUUUUUUCCUGUGUUUUUUCUGGGUUUUUUUUUCUGGUAUUUUUCUGGGUUUUUCCUAGGUUUUUUUCUGGGUUUUUUUCCUGUGUUUUUUCUGGGGUUUUUUUCUGGGUUUUUUCUGGGUUUUU
rnacentral:lncRNA from 1 species